rnacentral:rRNA from 1 species
CAGCAGCCGCGGUAAUACAGAGGGUGCGAGCGUUAAUCGGAUUUACUGGGCGUAAAGCGUGCGUAGGCGGCUUCUUAAGUCGGAUGUGAAAUCCCUGAGCUUAACUUAGGAAUUGCAUUCGAUACUGGGAAGCUAGAGUAUGGGAGAGGAUGGUAGAAUUCCAGGUGUAGCGGUGAAAUGCGUAGAGAUCUGGAGGAAUACCGAUGGCGAAGGCAGCCAUCUGGCCUAAUACUGACGCUGAGGUACGAAAGCAUGGGGAGCAAACAGGAUUAGAUACCCGCGUAGUCCCUGUCUCUUAUAA